AGUGAACGCUGGCGGUAGGCCUAACACAUGCAAGUCGAACGGCAGCACAGUAAGAGCUUGCUCUUACGGUUGGCGAGUGGCGGACGGGUGAGGAAUACAUCGGAAUCUACUUUUUCGUGGGGGAUAACGUAGGGAAACUUACGCUAAUACCGCAUACGACCUACGGGUGAAAGCAGGGGAUCUUCGGACCUUGCGCGAUUGAAUGAGCCGAUGUCGGAUUAGCUAGUUGGCGGGGUAAAGGCCCACCAAGGCGACGAUCCGUAGCUGGUCUGAGAGGAUGAUCAGCCACACUGGAACUGAGACACGGUCCAGACUCCUACGGGAGGCAGCAGUGGGGAAUAUUGGACAAUGGGCGCAAGCCUGAUCCAGCCAUACCGCGUGGGUGAAGAAGGCCUUCGGGUUGUAAAGCCCUUUUGUUGGGAAAGAAAAGAAGCAGGUUAAUAUCUCGCUGUUCUGACGGUACCCAAAGAAUAAGCACCGGCUAACUUCGUG
rnacentral:rRNA from 1 species